rnacentral:rRNA from 1 species
UACAGAGGGGGGCAAGCGUUGUUCGGAAUUACUGGGCGUAAAGGGCACGUAGGCGGCCGCCUAAGUCAGACGUGAAAUCCCUCGGCUCAACCGGGGAACUGCGUCUGAUACUGGGAGGCUUGAAUCCGGGAGAGGAAUGUGGAAUUCCAGGUGUAGCGGUGAAAUGCGUAGAUAUCUGGAGGAACACCGGUGGCGAAGGCGGCAUUCUGGACCGGUAUUGACGCUGAGGCGCGAAAGCCAGGGGAGCAAAGCGGG